GUGGUGACACAAUGGGUCAGUGCAUCUAGCUGUUAAACAGAAGGUUGGUGGUUCGAGCCUACUCAGGGACA